rnacentral:snoRNA from 1 species
AUCCAUUAAUUUGUUCAAAACGUCGACGGCUUCUAUAGCUGAGCGAACUCAAUUUGAUGGUAGAUAAUUUGUUUGCUCUGCCACACGUGUACUGGCUUUAUGCUGUAUGAGUUCCAAAGACUAACGAACAAUU